CUCCCCACCGCCCCGCCCCUCCCUGACCAACGCCGAGCUGGAAAGUGACUGUGCACUUGGGCCUGAAGAGCAGAGCAUACUGGCAGAGCCCCUCAUCUGAAGGAGUUGGGGAAGCAACAGAGUCCAGAGCUGGGGUAGCUGGAAAAUCACCAUAGCCAUGCUUUUGAACAUGGGCUUCAGACAACAUGCACACAUGAA